rnacentral:rRNA from 1 species
AUUGAACGCUGGCGGCAUGCUUUACACAUGCAAGUCGAACGGUAACAGGCCUUCGGGUGCUGACGAGUGGCGAACGGGUGAGUAAUGCAUCGGAACGUACCCAGAGGUGGGGGAUAACGCAGCGAAAGCUGUGCUAAUACCGCAUGUGAUCUGAGGAUGAAAGCGGGGGACCGAGCAGCAAUGUUUGGCCUCGCGCCUUUGGAGCGGCCGAUGUCGGAUUAGCUAGUUGGUGGGGUAAAGGCCUACCAAGGCGACGAUCCGUAGCUGGUCUGAGAGGACGACCAGCCACACUGGGACUGAGACACGGCCCAGACUCCUACGGGAGGCAGCAGUGGGGAAUGUUGGACAAUGGGCGCAAGCCUGAUCCAGCAAUGCCGCGUGCGGGAAGAAGGCCUUCGGGUUGUAAACCGCUUUUGGCAGGAACGAAACGGUGUCCGCUAAUACCGGGCGCUAAUGACGGUACCUGCAGAAUAAGCACGGGCUAACUACGUG